rnacentral:tRNA from 1 species
UAGUCGUGGCCGAGUGAUAGGUGAUAAACUAGAAAUCCAAUGGGAUCUCCCUGCGCAGGUUCAAAUCCUUCCGACUAUGC